rnacentral:rRNA from 1 species
CAGUCGCCGCGGGAAUACGAAGGGGGCUAGCGUUGUUCGGAAUUACUGGGCGUAAAGCGCACGUAGGCGGAUACUUAAGUUAGGGGUGAAAUCCCAGGGCUCAACCCUGGAACUGCCUUUAAUACUGGGUAUCUUGAGUAUGGAAGAGGUGAGUGGAAUUCCGAGUGUAGAGGUGAAAUUCGUAGAUAUUCGGAGGAACACCAGUGGCGAAGGCGGCUCACUGGUCCAUUACUGACGCUGAGGUGCGAAAGCGUGGGGAGCAAACAGGAUUAGAUACCCCAGUAGUCCCUGUCUCUUAUAC